GCGGACGUUGGAGCCUCUCCGGCGGCUGACUCUCGAGGAGUAGGCCUCGGCAAGGAAUGGCGGGAGAGCGCUUGUGAGGCGCCGCGGGUAUUUUCUUAAACCUCCGUGCGGUUCUUAAAAGGAGCAACGAACGGACUGCGCGGCGAAAACCUGUGUACCGUGAUAGGUUUCUUUUAGAAGAGAGGAUGAGGCGAUCUAUAGUGUAGCUUUCCCCCCCCCCGGUUCCUUCUGUGGGGAGGUCUUUCUGACGUUCGCUCGCUUCGUUUUUAAAACCGCCGAAGGUGGUGUGACAGGUAGUUUUCGACUUAACGACAGUUCGCUUCGUGACCGUUCAAAUGUAACAGCGGCACUGAGAAUAAAUGACUUGACGACCGUUUUUUUCACGCUUAACGACCGUUGCGGCGUUUCCCCACGGUCACGUGAUCAAAUCCAGAGGCUUAGCGACUGACUCCUAUUUUAUGACCAUUGCUGUGUUCCGGGAUCAUCUGAGCCCCUUUUGCCACCUUUGGGACAAGCAAUGGCUGGAAGAUUGGCUUAAGAAGCAGGUUGCUAACUCAACAGCCUCAGUGAUUCACUUAACAACUGGCAAGAAAGGUCGUAAAAUGGGGCGAAACUCAUUUAAAAACUGUCUUGCUUAGCAACAGAAAUUUUGGAGCUUAAUUAGUGGUACAGGGGAGAAAAAAGAGCCGUGAAGUGUGCUAUCCCAAUAAUUUGUUGGAUGGAAGUGGACAAGUCACAGAUCAGACAAAGCAUGUAUUUUAAAAAUGGAUCACACGAGGAUCAUGUGUAUGUUGUUCGUUCCUUUCUUGUUAUCACAUCCAUAGCAUGACAUCAAUCUUCUAAGAUUUUUACAGUGCACCUCUUAAGAUAAAAUCUAAUACAGCAAUAGGCAACAUGAUGCCUGCCUUCCAGGUGCUUAGAGUUCAGUUUCCAUUUCCUGCAACGAGUCAUUUCUCUGAUUAAUGACAUACCAAUGCAUCACAAAAAUGUAGAUUGAACUAUGAUUCCACAUGUUCACAUGCACCACCAAUCCCCCCUUUUUUGACAAAGAAAAGAUGACCAAAAUUAAUUCAAGAUAAAUUAAUAAUUUGGAUAAUGAAGUACAGCAUGACCUAUUAUCAAAUAAAAAGACAUUAUUUUUUCAAAAUAUCUCUAAAAAUAUACAGCUACUUUCCACAUUACUGGAACUAUUAAAUUUGCAAAUACUGGAAUAUUUAAUUUUUAAUUCAAUGGAGAUUAACAUUUUAAGUCACUGAAAUGUAAUACAUAUAUUACAUAAAUGAAUAAAUAUAAAUAUCAACUAUUAUAACUUAAUCUUGUAAGAUGACAGCUGUUUUCAAAUUCUCUCUUGAAAUUCUAUAGAUAAAACGAAACUACUCUUGACAAAUAGCAAUGGUGAUUGAACAGAAUUUGGCCACUUCCUCAAAGUCAUUACUGAAGUGUCACAAGAUAAGAUUGGCAGCUGCUUUGCUAUGAUUGGUUAUUAAGUUUUUAUGCAAAUUUGAAUAAAAGGAGCAAUUAAGAAAGUUGUGUAUUACUUUCCUGCAAAGGAUAUGAAGUUAGCUGACGUGCAGUUGAAUCUCCCUCUUGAAAGAGUUGAAAGUAAGACCCUGAAUCUCACUAAUGUAAAGAUUCUUUUGUGUACUGGUUGUAAAACAGAAAGGCAUUUAAUCACAAAAAAAAAACCAGUCUCCCUAGUAUGUCUGAAUUACAGAAUUUUUUGUAAUAAAGCCUACAUCCUUUUGUAAGUCUGGCUCAAAAACUUUUUUUUAAUCUGAAUUUUUUUUCAUAGCCAACUGAAUUCAGAUAUUUAAUGAAAAGUCUGCAGUUUUAAAUUAAACUUAGCCAAGAGGAAACCAAGUUACUUUGCUGGAUCAUAGCAGCAGCAAGACAUUCAUAGCACCAGUGAGACAUUCAUUGAAAAUGAAUUUGAACCAUUAUUUCAAAUGGCAUAAUUAUAACUGCACUCUAAUAAGGUUUGGCUUAAUUCAACUCUUCACAAAGCUGUGGGCACACAAAGUAUAGUUCAUGGAAAGUUGGCUGAGAUAAUUGCUGAUGUAUGCACCCUAGAGCAAAUAGCUUACUAUUUUAAGCCAGAAGAUAUUGGUCCGGCCACUAUUGCAGGUAGAAAAUCAAAGUAAAGCAUUUUUCACAAAUUGACUUACAUGGGUGCAGCUUUAAUGUGUUUGGCCAAGGAUGUUGAGUCUUGAAUGGGUAGCGUUUUAUUUAAUCUUGAGGGAAAUUGGGACAACUGGCUGUCUCUAUUGAUUGUUAUUCAAAUCUUUGGCCUUUUCAAUAUAAAUGAGUAAGGAAGAUUCUGUUCUAUGUUCCCCUUUUCCCCUUUUGAGUUGUUCGCCGCCCUAAGUCCCUCCUGGAGAAGGGCGGCAUACAAAUAAUAAAAUUCAAUUCAAAAAAGAUGGUUACAAUAUUUUCAUACGACUGACAGUAUAAAGGUAUGCUGAAGGAAACAUUUGAAAAGUUCCCCACGAACUAUUUUCUUCGCAAGUGUAGUUGGAGAACCUGCUCAUAACUUGUUGAGUGAAGUCCAUGAGCAUAUUUUGGUUUCUUUAUGGGAAUCAAACUAUGUUUAUGGCACUUUGCAGAAUCUUGUGUUCACAUGAUUGUGUUUUACAACAGUUUUGCUAAAAAUGGACAUUUACUUCCAGUUUUCAGCAAAACCAGCCCAUAGGGAACCAUUGAUUGACUUAACAACCGCAACAUUUUCUUAAUGAUAGCUGCAAAAAAGAUAAGAUCAGGUUGGUUAUGACUAUCGUUAGCCUAGCGGAUGCUACCCUUGCUUGUAACUGGUGGAACUUUGAAUUUAUAGUAGGCAAUACUCGCAUUAUAAUAAGUGACAAGGCAUUAUAAUGAUUGAUAUCUUCAAAAAUGAAUCCCAACAACUUGUUCAGUAACAAUAGUUUAAUUAUUUAAUUAAAUUUAUUUAAUUAACCUAAAACUAUACAUCUCAAGAUUGGAUAUUGAUAUACAUGACAGAAAUAAUUGGCUAUUAUUUAGUCUUGUUCUUCUCAUAUUGACAUAAUGGCCUCAUAUUAAUUAGAAACCAUACCUAUAUUCAUAUUGUUAUAAAACUAAAUGCACUUUUGAUUAAUCAGUUGUACACUAUAGUUUGCACGUUCAUUUCCAAGACUGAUUUCAGAUACAAUAAUAGUUUUAUAAAUAUAUGAAUUAGCACAUAAUUAUGUGAACCCAAGCAAGGCAAUGUUAUUUGUUACUAGCAGCUUCUUUUGAUCAGUUUUUAAAUAAUGGCUUGACUGUGUUGUAGAUUUAUUGUAUGUAUGUAUAUAUAUAUAUCCAUCCUAUAUAUAAUAUAUAUAAUGGAUUGAGAUUGGUCUAAUAAGACUUUGAUUAUAUACUGAGGCUGCUAUGAGACAACAUCAGACUUUUACAUAUGAAGGGCUUGUACCUAAUUAUCGGUUAUACUCCAUACUACCAAUAUGGUAAGUCUGAUAUUUGUUGGUACCAGGUAUCUAUACGCAAACAAGGUGAUGAUCAUAUCUAAUAUGCCUUCCUCUUCCUCCCAUUUUCCCCACAACCACCACUCCCUGAGAAGAGUUGGACUGAAAGUGAUUGGUCCAAAGUCACUCAGGCUUUCAUGCCUAUGGUGAGAGCAGAACUCAACAAUCUCCAGAUUUCUAGUCUGGUGUCUUAACCAGUUAUAAUUAUUGUGGACAGAACACAAACAAUUUAAACAGCUUACUUAUACAAAGUCUGAAUUAUUCUUUAAGGCCAUUGUCUUCCCACAGCUCAUUAGGCAUUAAUAUUUGGAAUUCGUACUUAACUAAGAUAUUUUUUCUUGCAGUUUUAGAAACUUUUUUUUUCAGUUUUCAGAUAAUAUUUUAAAAAACCCACUAAUCAUAGAUUUGGUUAAUCCUAAGAAAAAUUGACUUACAUAUUCCUCAAAAUUGAAUAGCAUUUUUCUAGUCUAUUAUACAUAAUUGGAGUUUAAUCUGUCAUUGGAAUACAUUUUACAAUUCUUUGCCUAUGUAAAUAUUUUGCUUCUUUUUUAACAGCACUGUUCGAAUAAUAAAUUACUUUUACCACUAACCAUUACUAGUGGAGCUAUUAUAACAGUAUCUCAUUUGUAAAUUUGUUUAUCAUUUGCUUUAGAUAGCAAUCGUGCUGCACUUUAUCUUUUCUAAAUUGGAUUUAAAAAAUCUUAAAUAUGCUAGCGAAGGCACUUUUUAUUCUUUUAGUUGAUCUCUGACCUUUCUCUGAUCUCAAAAUCCACUUUGGAACUUAGAUCUUUUUGAGUUCCAAAGGCUUUUAAAAAUGCAGCUGGGUCUAUGGAUAAGGAAAGAGAAUCCACUCCUUCACUUCCAUUAGCAGAAAUUGCUUCUAUUGACAGAAGUAUAGUGUAGACUUGUUGUCUACACACACACACACACACACACACAAAAUUAUCAAUUAAACUACGGGACUGCAUGUGAUUCUUUUGAGUAUACAUGUACAAACAUUUAUCUCACAUACCAGGCUCCUUGCCUCAUUUUUUUUUUAGAUUUAAAAUACUGGAAUCAAUUUCAGAAGAAUCAUAGUUGUCAAAAGAUGCAUAUGGGUCAGAGGGAGAUGCAGGAUAGACGUUAUUUUAUUGUGAUAUAUUUUAUAAGCAGUUAGGACAGACUGGCCUACAGCUGUUCCAGACGUCUGCAUGGAUCACAAAGUGCCAGUAUGACUUCCACAAUUACAAUCAUAAUUUCUCAGCAGCAAUUUCCAUGAGGAUUUCAAUGACGUAUUAUCAUUAUUCAAGCAAAUGUACACAAACUGCUUUCACGGAGCCUAUUGCUGUCUUAUGUUCUCUGAACAUAUUUAAAUAUUUCAAAAUAGUCUGGGUAUCAUCUCUACUGGUGUGACUACAGCCCUUUGAGUUCAUAAAGAUUUGCCACACUGCCAACAAGGCUCUUCUGCAUCAAAAGCAAUUACCUGGACCCAACCUUAGAAGAAAUUUCAAGUUUUAUAUUCAAUGAAGAGCAGCGAGGGUUCCAUUGGGCUUUAUGGCCAUUUCCGCUGACACACCUGAACAAUUCAUGCCUAAUAUUUAUUGCACAGUAACAUUCUUCAUUUCUUGGUUAAUACAAUUAGCGUGUAUUCUAACAAUGGAAUUUCAAGACUGGACAGAGCCACUUUAGUUAAAUAAGUUUUCCAGAUUUUUUUUUAAAGCUCUAUAUUAUAGUACAUUAUAUACACAUGAAUAUACUACUGUGGCUCCAAAAGGAACUAUAAUACUUUUAUAGAGUUAUAUGGCUACUUUUAAAAAUACAUUUUAAAAAUAUUUUCAAAUUAAGAUAGUAAGCAAUGAAAUGUACUGUCCAUAAAUUGUAAGAAUGAUCUUAUCAAGUAAAGAAAUUGUUCUCUGAACAAAUAGACACAUAUUCAUUAUUGGUUAUGGCAAUUUACAAUGACAUUCAUCUAAUGUAGAACAAGUACCAGAUACUGUAGUUAUGCUGCUUCUAAUUGGGGAGGCUCUCAUUUUAAAAACUGAGAAUGGUGCAGCAAUAUAGCUUGUGGCAUUCAUUCACACAAAGCUUCCAAAUGAAAAUUCUUCCUCUUGGAGAAUUCACCAUGAAUUAUAAGACAUUUACAUCAGCACAUUUUACAACAUCAAUUUCAGUGAAUUAUUUUCAUAUAAAAUAUUAUAAAUCUACAAACAAUGAUUCAGUGAUACUUCAUUGGUUUUGAACAGGAAUACUUAUCAGAAGCCUCAUCAUCAUCAAACCUUCUUCCCAAAACAAAACAUAUCUUCCCACCAGAUAUUACAUUUGAUUCCAUAACUUUCCAGCCAGCCUGGUGAAUUUAUUAUUUGGCAGAUUAUAGAAUCCAAACUCCCAACACACCCAGAGGACAUAGGACAAAGUUUCAUCUCUCUGAUUUGAAACGUGUGUGUGUGUAUGUGUACAGAUCUGCAUUCAUAUAAAAUUAGAAAAGAUGAAAUAACUUUCAAAAACAGGUACGAUUUAACAGAUGCUGUCAUGUGCUGUCGCAAGAAGAAUGCAUAGGACAUUUCUGCAGCUGUCGAAAAUAGUAAACCAUUCUGAUUUAACCUCAGAGUUCAAGUUGGAAGCAUUUCUAGUUCCAGGUUCUAGAAGCAAUCCAUUCAAGUUUUGCUCUGGGUUUCCCUUCUUUUACAGAAGUUGUUUUGCAAAUUUAAUUAUUACACAUCAUUCUUCUGACACAGUAUAAACUCUUUCAGUGCCUGAUAAUCCUCCAACAGUAUUUAGAAGUUCUUUUUCCACAAUAUUGACAAAAUAUUGUG